GACGUUCUCUAGUUGGGGAGAGGAUUGGACCAGACAAGGUGUUUUCAGAAAUCAGCUUGGUAGACUCUACAUAAAUAGUCUGAAGGUUGUAGCGAUGAACAUCCAAUGAGACAACCAAGUGACAGUUUUUCCUGUUGACCUGCUCCGCCGGUGGGACUUUACCAGGAGAUUCUUCCUGACUGGUACUCUUCCGGCUCCGGAGCAGUAGUCCGGGAUCCCUCAAAAUCCUGGGAGAAGGCGGAGGGCGCGCUGCUUGGGCACUGGCACAGAGCGGUUGUCGUGCUGUCGAGUGAAUUCCAGGCCAGACUGUUUUGAGGCUUACAACAGAGGGCAUGGAGGCCUGAGAAUGGAAAGAAGCCUGAAAUGGCUGGAAGAAAUCUGCAGAAAGCUCACUUGCCACCAGCGUUCCUUAAAGAGUGGAAGACCAUUAGAGUCUACUCGAAAUGGCCUCUCGCCUCCGGGCAUCUGUCUCAGAACUAGAGGAGACUGCUCAUCUUUGCGAAUGAGACUUAUGGAGAAUCUGCUUAGGUGUUCCUGAAAGGCACACACCAGCAUCGAAUGUUUAGAAACAAUAUCAUUCUGUAGCCCUGACUGGCAAUUCUUCUGUCUCAGUCUCCUGGAGUUCUGGAAUUACAGGCGUGCAUCACAAAGUUAAGUAUUUUACGUUUUACAAUCUCAAUUCACGCAGCAAUUUAGAAGUUCAGGGUGCAGUUGAAAAUUAAGCUGAGCCAGACGCGGUGAACAAGCCUUUAAAUCCCUGCAUUCCGGAUUUACCUAGAGAGUUGUCUUUAAAAUCUAAAAGAAAGUUUGACUGAAUAUUACUUAAGUGUUCAAUGUGAAUGAAACCAUUUAAAAAUGUACUUGUAAGAAGAGACAAACGUUUCCUGGUGCGGCUGCGGGGUCAGCCUGUAUGCUGAGUGCGGCGCAGGGCUACUGUGUAACGUCUAAACCGCUUUGUGUGGUGUCUCUUUACUCAUUUUCACCUGCCUGGCGAAUCAGACAAGCUCUGUAAUUCUACUCGGUUUUGGUUCCCAACAGCUUUUUUGUCUUUGGUUUUGUAUCCUGCCCCCCCACCCCCUUCUCUUUAAACGCCACAGAACUGUAACUAUUAAAAGUAAUUCGCCCUUCUCUCUCCCCUUCUCUCCCCUCCUCUCCCCUCCUUUUUUUUUUUUCUUUCGUUUUUGUUUUAUUUUGUUUUUCGAGAAAGCGUUUCUCUGUGUCGUUCUGGCUGUCUGGGAACUCGUUUCAUAGACUAGGCAGGCCUCUUGCUUCUGCCUUCCAAAUUCUGGGAUUAAAAGUAUCCGGUUGCAUUUCUAAUGUAAGUACGGAAAGUUAAAAAAAAAAAAAAGGUUUGGGGAUUUAGCUCAGCGGUAGAGCGCUUGCCUAGCUCCGGAAAAAGAAAAGAAAAAAAAAAAAGCAAGCGCAGAAUAAAACUUACUUUUCCUCUGCUUAAGUUUGUGAAUUAACAAACUGAUCAGGCUUCCACAAACUAGUGUGUCGAAAAACCAUCUUAACCUCUCAUACGCUGUGAGCAGGAUUUGAACCUGCGCGGGAAGAACCCAUUGGAUUUCGAGUCCAACGCCUUAACCACUCGGCCAUCACAGCUCACUCGAGCUGCAUGUAUGUUAUGUCAUUUGUAUAUUAAAAAAAUAAUUUAAAAAAUUCUCUGAAAGCAAAUUACAUACUCUGAAGGCACUGAAUGCUAUAAUCGCAUCAAUGCCAGACACUCCCAACUAUUAGGAAAUUUCCUUUCAGCAAUACACAGAAAGCAAUCACUAAUCAGAUCUCUUCCUCAAGUCUUACUCAACCCUAUCCCUGUAGGCUUUUUAAAGGGAGAACAAUAUUCCAGCAUACCAGAAUCUCUGGUUUUAGUCUUCUUUUCCCCACUUCCGGUUUUCACGGCUUACCGAGUUUUUCUUCAUAGAUGUGGCAGGGAAUCGCGUUUGAGCUAGUUGUGUGUACAACUAUAAUCUUAAAUAAGAUUGCUUUCCCCACACAACUCGAGAAGCACUGCUCUCGAGGGAGACAAUUUGGUAAGUUCUAUCUAUACUCAAAAUUUAUGUGCCUUCUGAGGCAAUAUUUCUACAAAUGUGCAAGAUAUGUUUGCACACAUGAGUGGUUUUGCUGGGGUCAAGAUCAUUCUCUUCUGAAUAUGCAGUGUUGAGGAAAACAUCAGCAAUAUGUGUUUUUAAAAAUAAUUCUCUUGUUAGUGUUAAACAAUUUAAAAUAAUUUAACCUGGUAGAUUUUUGGCAACACACACACACACACACACACACACACACACACACACACACACACACGCAGAUCUAAAUAUGCAUAUUUAAGAGUUGUCUGUGGUUACACACCUGAAAUUCUAGCACUUGAGAGGUGGAGGCAGGAAAAGCUUAAAUUUUAGGCAAUCCUCCAUUACAUAGUAAGUUGGAGGCCAAUAUGGGUUACAUGAGACCCUGUCUCAAAGAAAGAAAAGAGAAAAAUGAUACUAUGAGAUGUGUGUGUGUGUGUCCACACAAGAUAGAUAUCUUUAAUAUGAAAUCAACGUUGAGAUCGAAGUGUUUCGAGUACUACCACAGGAGUAUAUACAUGUAUUUACAUGGGAGAUCAGACUUAUAUAUAUAUAUAUGUAUAUAUAUAUAUAUAUUUUUUUCUUUUUUGGUUUUUUUUUUUUUUUUCCGGGAGCUGGGGACCGAACCCAGGGCCUUGCGCUUCCUAGGCAAGCACUCUAUCACUGAGCUAAAUCCCCAGCCCCUGUAUUUUUAUAAAUAUAAGAGAGCUGGGCACGAUGGCACAUACCUUUAAUCUCAGUACUUGGGAGGCCACAGUAAGCAAAUCUCUGAGUUUGAGGGCAGCCUGGUCUACAUAGAGAGUUCUAGGACAGCCAGUGGUAUAUGCAGAGAAACUGUCUGGGGAAAAAAAAGUCUCAACAAUACAUGAUUAAGGAACAACUGAGACAAGAUGAUUCCUUCAAUGGGUUUGAAAAUUUUGUGGUAUUAAAAUGGUAAAAUGCACCCUGUGUAGUCUAAGACAACUUUCUACUUGAGGCCAGUGCCCUUUUGAGCAUUAAUUAGGAUCUGUUGCAUGGUAUCAUUAUUGAAGAGUUUCUCCUUUAUUAAUCUCUGGGUUCUUGGGGGUGAGUUCUUGCUGGGAGGCGUUGCUCAGCUGUUACAGUGUAAUCAGCUCAGGAUUUCUAUCAGGAUGCCAAAACCGGAAGGCUUGUAUAGCAACAUGGAUUUCCCAGAAUUCUGAGGCUAGAAGUCCAAAAAGGCAUUUCUUCCUAUGCUCUUGUGAGAGCUUUCCUCUGUGUAUACACGGAGGGCAGUCUAUGAUGUCUUUUACUUGGUCUCCUAAGAACACAUGCUGCACUGGAUUACAGCCUCAUUUUGAGAUCCUAUUUGACUUUAAUUACCAUCUAAAACGUCCAUCUCUCAAUGCCAUCGAACUGGAAUGAAUGUGGGCUUCAAAGGAAUGAAUCUCCACGAAGACACAAUCAGCCCCAUAAGAAGACCCUGCAUGUCUUUGGUAAUUUAGUGCCCACAUUGGUCCUAUUACUCUGAGUUGCACUUGUCUCAGUGCUUGCAGGGUUCACUGUGAUGUACCAAGAAUGUACCAGAGCUGUAUGUAUGAGUUUUUCCUCACAACAUCAAUGAAAGGUCCUCUGGUGAAGCUCACCAUUUUCAAGAAGGUCCUAGAUCUGAUAUAAAUCUCAUGUUAGUCUUUAAACCUCCUCAGCCUGUAAGUAUUUUGCUCUACAGAGAUACUUCAUUUCAUUAUGUUGAGUCAUUCUAACUGUAGCUCAUGUAUUAAUCAACUAGGAAUACUUACAACCAUUGCCCUUGAGCUGUAGUGUGUAUGUAUGUAUGUAUGUAUGUAUGUAUCUAUAUGUGUGUAUGUAUGUAUGUGUGUGUAUGUAUGUGUGUAUAUGUGUGUAUGUGUAUGUAUAUGUAUGUGUAUGUAUAUGUGUGUAUGUAUGUGUAUAUGUGUAUGUAUGUAUAUGUAUGUGUGCAUAUGUGUUUAUAUAGUAUGUAUACAUGUAUGUGUAUAUAUGUAUGUGUAUGUAUGUAUACACGUAUGUGUAUAUAUGUAUGCGUGUAUGUAUGUAUGUAUGAUGACUACAAUGACACAAUUCUUCUGGUAUGUAUCACACCUCCUCAAGGUCACACUUUGACUUUACCUUCAAGGGUCAGGGACAUCCUGAGGACAUCCAGAGAGUCUCAAAGGACAGCUCCAGCUGCUACCAGCUAUCAAGAGGAGUCAAAAGCUGGAACCAGAGAAUCAUUUCAGAAGAUGUGGUUCAGGAAGAUCAUAGUUCCCACCUUCCAAUCUUAUUUUAUUACAGAUAAAACUUCCUAAAUUUCAUCGGUGCUCCAACUCAGACAAGCAUCUCUUACCUACUAAAGUUCCCCAUUUUACCUGUCUGUUCUACUACAUCCAUGCCUUGUGGGGUAUGUCUUUGCUUGCUCGCCACUAGAAAAAUCAUGGCUCAGGCUUGUAAAAGAGACAACAGAUGGACAAGAGACAUUUUAUUAGUUGUAUUAAAACAAGAUUUAAAUUGGG